AACGAACGCUGGCGGCGUGGAUAAGACAUGCAAGUCGAACGCUGAUUAAGCUGCAGCAAUGUAGUUUAGUCGGAGUGGCGCAAGGGUGCGUAACACGUGGGUAAUCUGCCGCGAAGACCGGGAUAACUUGCUGAAAGGCGAGCUAAUACCGGAUGUGGAAUCUGGAAGGCAUCUUUUGGAUUCUGAAGCUGGGGACUGUAACAGGCCUGGCACUUCGCGANGAGCCCGCGGCCUAUCAGCUAGUUGGUGAGGUAACGGCUCACCAAGGCUAAGACGGGUAGCUGGUCUGAGAGGACGACCAGCCUUCACUGGAACUGAGACACGGUCCAGACACCUACGGGUGGCAGCAGUCGAGAAUUUUUCACAAUGGGCGCAAGCCUGAUGGAGCGACGCCGCGUGGGGAUGAAGGGCUUCGGCUCGUAAACCCCUGUC
rnacentral:rRNA from 1 species